ensembl:lncRNA
CAGCAGGGACAGGGAGGUGAUUGUCCCUCUCUACUCUGCUCUUGCGAGGUCCCAUCUGGAGUACAGUGUCCAGGUAUGGAGCCCACAGUACAGGAAAGACAGAGAGCUGUUGGAGAGGGUCCAGAGGAAGGCCAUGAAGAUGAUCAGGGGGCUGGAGCACCUCCCCUAUGAGGACAGGCUGAGGGAGCUGGGCAUGUUCGGCCUGGAGAAGAGAAUGCUGCGGGGUGACCUCAUUGCAGCCUUUCAGUACCUGAAGGGAGCCUGUAAACAGGAAGGGAUUAAACUCUUUGAAAGGGUAGAUAACAGCAGGACAAGGGGGAACGGUUUUAAGUUGAAAGAGGGGAGAUUUAAGUUGGAUGUUAAGGGGAAGUUCUUUACCAGGAGAGUGGUGAGGUGCUGUAAUGGGCUGCCCAGAGAGGUUGUAGAUGCCCUGUCCCUGGAUGUGUUCAAGGCCAGGUUGGAUGGGGCCCUGGGCAAUGUGGUCUUGUAAAUGGGGAGGUUGGUGGCCCUGCCUGGCAAGGGGGUUGGAGAUUCAUGAUCCUUGAGGUCCUUUCCAACGCAGGCCAUUCUGUGAUUCUGUGAUUCUGUGAAUUCAGACUUUCCUUGGGUGUCAGUGAGAAUAUUGAUAAUAAUUGUGACUACAGCAGUUAGCUUAUACUGGGACUGAGGAACAGUGUUC